CAGUAGCCACGGUAAUACGUAGGGUGCGAGCGUUAAUCGGAAUUACUGGGCGUAAAGCGUGCGCAGGCGGUUAUAUAAGACAGAUGUGAAAUCCCCGGGCUUAACCUGGGAACUGCAUUUGUGACUGGCGGGCUAGAGUAUGGCAGAGGGGGGUAGAAUUCCACGUGUAGCAGUGAAAUGCGUAGAUAUGUGGAGGAAUACCGAUGGCGAAGGCAGCCCCCUGGGAUAACACUGACGCUCAUGCACGAAAGCGUGGGGAGCGAACAGGAUUAGAUACCCCCGUAGUCCCUGUCUCUUAUAA
rnacentral:rRNA from 1 species